GCACCAAGGGUCUUAAUCCCCCAUUUUCACUGUCUUCUUGGCAAAUCAAACGGUAAAUGGUUUAGAGUAGAUUUUAUGUCACGUAUCUCAAAGAGUUGCAAUUUGAGCAAUUAUUCAACCAAUUAAAAUGCCUGUAAUUACUACACUGCUCACUCACAAACGAAAGGGGAACCUCAACCUGGGUUUUA